CGGAACACGUACAGAACCUUCCUUUAAGCGGGGGAUAGCCCAUAGAAAUGUGGAUUAAUACCCCAUAGUAAUGUUUAAUGGCAUCAUUAGAUAUUUAAAGAUUUAUCACUUAAAGAUGGCUGUGCGGCUGAUUAGGUAGUUGGUGUGGGUAACGGCCCACCAAGCCAGCGAUCAGUAACUGGUGUGAGAGCACGACCAGUCACACGGGCACUGAGACACGGGCCCG
rnacentral:rRNA from 1 species